AGUGGGGUGGCUAAUCAGCCUCUAUGCUCUUCUGAGCUUAAUUUAUCUACUUUUCUGCUGUCUCUUAUCCCCUCCUGGUGUCCUAGUUGUUGGAGAACGAGACAUGUCAUCUUCAUAACAAUGACACAAGCAAUACUGAGAUGGAUUUCAAGUCACAAGAAGACACUAUCUUUAAUAGUUGAAAGAAAAUAUGUUCAACAUAUACAGGGCUUCUGCAGGUGUCUUUGCGAUGACCUCGCCAUGGUAAUCACACACCACCUCUUCUUUCUGGAAAUGCCUGGAAGUCACAACCUUCUUCCACUUCACUGGAUCGUCAGUGAUACUCAGGACUCUCCAGGUGAUGCAGGUGCUUCAGCUGAAUAAUGGCCUGCAGGUAAUACAGCACAAGAAGCUGCUCAGGCAUGGUGACGUCUUCAGAGGUGUGCGUCUUCUCCAGUUCCGCUCCACAUCUCUCUUUGCAGCCCUCAGCACCUUCCAGCAGUCACUGGCGCUCGGCCCAGGACUCUGCAGCUGUCUGUAUCUGUGGCAGAAGGAGUAGUACCAUCAACAUCAAUUCCUGUCAUGUACUGGAACCAGAAACCAACUGGAAUCAGAGUUCUAAAUGGAAAAUAUCUCUUUCUGAUGACUUCCUGUGAGACAUCCUUGCUGUUUUUUUGCUGAAUGUCCUUUAGGAUGCUCUGGAAGAUGAUGAUGACGUUAGCUAGGCUUGGAUCCUCCUGUCUUAGGUUGGUGGCAUUCAGGAUGUAGCACAGGAACCGGUUGAUGUUUUUGAUGUAAUUAGCAAUGGUUUGGUGAGACAGUCCAGUCAUCCUCAGUUGGUAAAAAAAUUGCUUGUUUUGGGAACGUCCUUCACAAACAUCAAGAAUGUUUCAGACGGAUCCAUAAAAAAUAGGAAUCUGGAAACGUUGCCUAUUUAAAAUAAAGUUUUUAGGGUUUAUUUUAGGGCUGGCACAAUCUCAGAUGGGUGAAUUUUGUGCUAAUGACUUAAAAUAUGUACUUUGUGAGUCUCUGCCCAGUUUUAAAUACCUACCUGUCACGAAUCUCCCUCAUGCAAGCAAACGCUCCCGUAUUCCCACGAGCUCUCCACGUACCAAACGUGCACACGUCAAUCAGUCCUCUACUUAAACCCUCACCAGAUCAUUGCUCACGAUUGAGAUUCUCUCCCGGAGCUUACCUGCUAUCUACGCUUUCGCCUUACUACGAAUUCUCCCCUGGACCUCGACCCUGCUUUUCCAACUACCUCUUUGCCACUCGAUUUUGUACCUUCGCCUCUAGAACGCUCUCUCGGAUCGUGACCCCUGCCUGUCUUUUCGAUUACGCCUCCGCCUUCCGAAUCCACUCCGACACCUCUUCUACCCCUUCCCUGACUCCGACCCCUGCCAGUCUCCUCGACUACGCCUUCACCUACCUAUUCUGUGCCUAAGCCACUACUACGCCUUCCUGGACUCGGACCCCUGCCUGUUUACUUCGACAACACCUACAUCUAGCGCCAACCCUACCUAGGGCACCGCAUUGCAUCCCUAUCCUCUGCAGUCAGCCCCUGCGUGACACUACCUCCUCAGAGCAGUUUACCACACCCAGGUCCUGGAUAAGGUACUGUUUAAAGCCAGCCAGGAGUGUUUUUUCUGUAUAGUCCAGCCCGUGUCGCUCUCUUCCAGAGAGCCUGCUGAUAACUCUUAACUACUGGGGUCCUGUAGGUAUUUACUGGAACAGGACCCAACCCGAAGUCCUUCCAGGGCACCUUAUUUGUCUGGACGACAUGUCAUCCGGUAUGGUUCUUCAUUAACAUUACUCUCCAUUUUGAGGUUUCGCCAUGGGUACUACCUAGUGGGUUGGCGGGCCCACAGGAGGGGUGAGAUCAUUUAGACCUCAUUUGACCUCCACGUACUCAAGCAGAGCAGUGGAGUUACCAGCGGAACCACAUGGAGGUAGAGGUCACUAAGUCUCCACUCCUUACCCAAGGGAGUUAAGAGAGUCAUAGUUACU